GUAUAUUUUCUUUUUAGUCUUCCUCAGUCAAUACUUUCACCACAGCUUCAUUAUCUACCAGUGUUGCACAUUCACAUCUUAAAAAUGUACCCUCUCUUGUUUUCAAAGUAGUUUACUGUCAGUCAGAUUGCAUAGAGAGUGUUAGUGAACAGCAAUUUUCAAGUUGGAUUUUGGGCCAGACUUUGGGCAAAGACAUAAAUAUGCUUUGAUCUAUACAAAUCCAUUGUAAUUCAUAUCUGGGUUUUAGGUUCCUGUUAGAAUGCAAGGUACAUACUAGACAUGUUCUCAGUUUAUCACAAAGCAACUCUGAGAAGUAGCUACAAGAUGGUACCCAUGAGCGUACCCAUGCUUGCACAUGGAAGAUUAAAAUAUAUCCAGAUCAACCCCAGGGCGGGAUUCUAUCCCAGGAUCUUCUUGCUGUGGCACAACUAAAAACUGCUCCACCAUGCAUUCCUGAAUAAAAAACGGGUCCCUCAUUUUUAAGAUCCACGUUGCUAAAAAAUGGAAAUUAACUUUGUUUUCUUGUUUGCUCUACCACCUAUGUGCUACUUUGUGUUGAAGAUAACAUAAAAUCCCAGUAAAGUACAUUGUUUGUGGUUCCAAUGUGAUACAAUGUGUUAACAUACAGUGGGCACAAAUGCCAUUACAAGGCAUUGUAUCUAUAAAUUCCCAAUGAGGUACUUACAAAAAAAAAGGUUCACUUAAAGCACAUGCAAAGGGGAAGUGCUUAAAUUCUGAGCUCCAAUUAGAAAGGUUUGCAGGUGAGUCAACAAGAGUGAGAACUGGUUGAGCAACUUCUGUUUGGACACAACUCAGUUCAGAUGACAUCAGUGCAGCUAAAAAUAAUUAGCCUACUUUUCACACAAGGCAUGUGUCUGUUAACUUUGUGUGGAUAGGAGCACAGAGCAGUGAUUUAUUCUUUGUUUUUUAAGAGGACAAUCUAUGUAAUUCCCCCUAUGGCAAUAUAUUGCAUUCCCAAUUUCAUUUAUUUCCCUUUCAUUCCCAGAAGAGAGCUAAACCAGCCACAAUAGUUCGUAUUCAUAUAUUCCCAUUUUUCUAUCUCAUAUUAGCGACGACAGGAAGUUUGUGCAGGACAAAUGGGACCGUCGAACCAUGACCAACUCAAUUUUGUGUUUUUGUCAAAAGCAGCGGGAACGCAAGACACAAAAGAACGCAAGAUGUAAAAGCGAGCGGAGACUCAUCCUGGAAAUGAUGUGAGAUCCCAAGCUGGAGCGCAGGAGAGAGGGGUGACUUUGAAAGAAGAAGAUGGGUAGCCCUCAGCGCUUUUCCCUUAUCUCCAAGGAGUCUGAGCUGCGAGGUGUGUGGCUUUGAUUCCCUGACAUCUUGAAUUAAUCUUAUCGGGUAAAGAAUGGCACAAAAAGCUCUGAUUGGACACAGAGCUGCAACCUAAGAAGAGACUAGAAACUAGAGAGUUGAGACCAAAAUGAAGUUGCAUGAAACCCAAAAGUGUUAGGGCAUGCAUACACCCUCAUUUGUCUAGUGAAAAA